rnacentral:rRNA from 1 species
GAUGAACGCUGGCGGCGUGCCUAAUACAUGCAAGUCGAGCGAACGGACGAGAAGCUUGCUUCUCUGAUGUUAGCGGCGGACGGGUGAGUAACACGUGGAUAACCUACCUAUAAGACUGGGAUAACUUCGGGAAACCGGAGCUAAUACCGGAUAAUAUUUUGAACCGCAUGGUUCAAAAGUGAAAGACGGUCUUGCUGUCACUUAUAGAUGGAUCCGCGCUGCAUUAGCUAGUUGGUAAGGUAACGGCUUACCAAGGCAACGAUGCAUAGCCGACCUGAGAGGGUGAUCGGCCACACUGGAACUGAGACACGGUCCAGACUCCUACGGGAGGCAGCAGUAGGGAAUCUUCCGCAAUGGGCGAAAGCCUGACGGAGCAACGCCGCGUGAGUGAUGAAGGUCUUCGGAUCGUAAAACUCUGUUAUUAGGGAAGAACAUAUGUGUAAGUAACUGUGCACAUCUGGACGGUACCUAAUCAGAAAGCCACGGUGAACUACGU